rnacentral:rRNA from 1 species
AUUGAACGCUGGCGGCAGGCCUAACACAUGCAAGUCGAACGAGUGGCGGACGGGUGAGUAAUGUCUGGGCAACUGCCUGAUGGAGGGGGAUAACUACUGGAAACGGUAGCUAAUACCGCAUACCAUCAGAUGUGCCCAGAUGGGAUUAGCUGGUUGGUGGGGUAACGGCUCACCAAGGCGGCGAUCCCUAGCUGGUAUGAGAGGAUGACCAGCGACCCUGGAGGUGAGACGCCGUCCAGAGUCCUAGGGACGGCAGCAGUUGGGAAUGUUGCACAAUGGGCGCAAUCUUGCUGCAUCCAUGCCGCGUGUAUGAAGAAGGCCUUCGGGUUGUAAAGUACUUUCAGCGUGGAGACGUAACCCGCAGAGGAGGCACCGGCAAACUCCGUGCCAGCGGCCGCGGAAUUU